rnacentral:piRNA from 1 species
UAUGAACCUAAUUGUCUUGGACAUGCAAU